GGUUGAUCCUGCCAGUAGCAUAUGCUUGUCUCAAAGAUUAAGCCAUGCAUGUCUAAGUAUAAACACCUUUUAUACCGCGAAACUGCGUACAGCUCAUUACAUCAGUUAUGAUUUCUUUGAAGAUUGGAUUUUUCAUACUACAUGGAUACCCGUAGUAAUUCUAGAGCUAAUACAUGCGUAAGGGGUGGGGGUUCUACUUCCACUUGUAUUGAUUAGAUUUCUUAUUUGGAGGGCUUGCUCGGAGGUAGUGGCAACACUAUCUCUGUAUCAGGUGACUCAUAAUCACUGUUCGG
rnacentral:rRNA from 1 species